rnacentral:rRNA from 8 species
AACACGACUCUCGGCAACGGAUAUCUCGGCUCUCGCAUCGAUGAAGAACGUAGCAAAAUGCGAUACCUGGUGUGAAUUGCAGAAUCCCGCGAACCAUCGAGUUUUUGAACGCAAGUUGCGCCCGAGGCCUUCUGGUCGAGGGCACGCCUGCCUGGGCGUCACGC